UACGGAAGGCAGCAGUGGGGAAUAUUGCACAAUGGGCGCAAGCCUGAUGCAGCCAUGCCGCGUGUAUGAAGAAGGCCUUCGGGUUGUAAAGUACUUUCAGUCGUGAGGAAGGUGUUAAGGUUAAUAACCUUAGCAAUUGACGUUAGCGACAGAAGAAGCACCGGCUAACUCCGUGCCAGCAGCCGCGGUAAUACGGAGGGUGCGAGCGUUAAUCGGAAUUACUGGGCGUAAAGGGCACGCAGGCGGUUAAUUAAGUUGGAUGUGAAAUCCCCGGGCUUAACCUGGGAAUGGCAUUCAAGACUGGUUAGCUAGAGUCUUGUAGAGGGGGUAGAAUUCCAUGUGUAGCGGUGAAAUGCGUAGAGAUGUGGAGGAAUACCGGUGGCGAAGGCGGCCCCUGGGACAAAGGACUGACGCUCAUGUGCGAAAGCGUGGGGAGCAAACGAGGAUUAGACUACC
rnacentral:rRNA from 1 species